rnacentral:misc_RNA from 1 species
UAAUUGAGUGUUUUAUGGCACUCUUUAAAAAAAUCCAUAUCCACCUUGUGUGCAACGUUUUUGAACUCUCUCUGGUAUUAAAAAACCAAAGGGGUUUGAUUAACUUAACACCUUUAAAGCAGUUUGUCUGAAUAUCUAUUUCUGAAUAAACAUAAUUCAAAAAUA